rnacentral:rRNA from 1 species
GACGAACGCUGGCGGCGUGCUUAACACAUGCAAGUCGAACGGAAAGGCCCUGCUUUUGUGGGGUGCUCGAGUGGCGAACGGGUGAGUAACACGUGAGUAACCUGCCCUUGACUUUGGGAUAACUUCAUGAAACUGGGGCUAAUACCGGAUAGGAGCUCCUGCUGCAUGGUGGGGGUUGGAAUGUUUCGGAGGUUGGGGAUGGACUCGCGGCUUAUCAGCUUGUUGGUGGGGUAGUGGCUUACCAAGGCUUUGACGGGUAGCCGGCCUGAGAGGGUUACCGGCCACAGUGGGAUUGAGAUACGGCUCAGACUCCUACGGAAGGCAGCAGUGGGGAAUAUUACGCAUUGGGCGGAAACCUGAGGCAGCAACGCCGCGUGCGGGAUGACGGCCUUCAGGUUGUAAACCGCUUUCGCCUGUGACGAAGCGUGAGUGACGGUAAUGGGUAAAGAAGCACCGGCUAACUACGUG